rnacentral:rRNA from 1 species
AGUGAACGCUGGCGGUAGGCCUAACACAUGCAAGUCGAACGGCAGCACAGUAAGAGCUUGCUCUUACGGGUGGCGAGUGGCGGACGGGUGAGGAAUACAUCGGAAUCUACUUUUUCGUGGGGGAUAACGUAGGGAAACUUACGCUAAUACCGCAUACGACCUACGGGUGAAAGCAGGGGAUCUUCGGACCUUGCGCGAUUGAAUGAGCCGAUGUCGGAUUAGCUAGUUGGCGGGGUAAAGGCCCACCAAGGCGACGAUCCGUAGCUGGUCUGAGAGGAUGGUCAGCCACACUGGAACUGAGACACGGCCCAGACUCCUACGGGAGGCAGCAGUGGGGAAUAUUGUACAAUGGGCGCAAGCCUGAUCCAGCCAUACCGCGUGGGUGAAGAAGGCCUUCGGGUUGUAAAGCCCUUUUGUUGGGAAAGAAAAGCAGCAGGUUAAUACCCCGCUGUUCUGACGGUACCCAAAGAAUAAGCACCGGCUAACUUCGUG